ensembl:lincRNA
CCCUGCGGCCCGCCCGCCGGCGCCACGAGGACUCCUGCUCCACCUGCUCCUCCUCCUCCGACUCCGAGGAAGAGGGCUUCUUCCUGGGGCAGCCCAUCCCCCUGCCCCCCCAGCUGCGGGACGCCCAGGCCCGCCGCGGCUCCGCGGCCUCCGGGGACCGGGAUCGGGAUCGGGACCGGGAUCGGGACCGGGACCGGGAUCGGGAGGGGGAGGGGGACAGGGGGGGCAGCCUGCGCUCCAGCCUGAGGAGGAGGGGGAGGGCGAACAGCCUGAGCCAGGACAAGGACAAGAGCUGUGUGGUGUCCUAACCACCCCCCCCCCACCACCUGCACCGCGGGGAAGAGUCUCAGCCCGACCGGUCGCCCGCCGGAACGCCAGGAAAGCUUCCGGAUGAAAAAACGGGAGCGAACGGAUGCCUUGUUCCACACUCCCACCACCCUUUGUGUAAAGAGGUGCCUCCUGGUUGCCACCUUCGAGCGCGACCACCUGGGCAGCUGGUUCCCUGACUCCCAGCGGAGCUCGAAAUGGCCGUUUCCGUUCCGAUCUCUGUGGGGUUUCCUGUUGGUGUGUCACACCCUGCUGCUCCCCGGCCUGUGCUGUGAAUCAGACUGGGGACAGAGGCGUCGGCCCUGAGCAAGGACAGGAUUCUCCACGGCGCAGUCGGCAUCCUGGGCCUCUGGAAGGACUGAGCAGCAUUUCCAUUCCUCCUCCGAGCGCUUGGAGCCGCUGGCAAUUCAGGGACACCAUCUACAGACACAGUGUACCCCAGAGCAGGGAUUCUUUUUGUCUUCGUGUUGCAGAGACGGAGACAGAGGGGGAUUCAAAAAGUCAAAUCUGACCUCGAACCCACCAGGACCAGGACUGGACACCACUGCAGACACACUGACCGGCCCUGCAGGCCCAGGACUGGACACCACUGCAGACACACUGACCGGCCCUGAGGUACUGGACACCACUGCAGGCAUGCUGACCGGCCCUGCAAGACCAGGACUGGACAUCACUGCAGGCAUGCUGACCGGCCCUCCAGGACCAGGACUGGACACCACUGCAGACACUAUGAUCCAACAUGGAACACUUAUCGAUCCUCUCUCGCUGCUCGGUCGCUGUCAGUCUCUACCUAUAUAAGCGAACCCCUAUUUUUAACUCCGCUUCAGGACCGUGCUAGUGGCGUUUCAGGCGGCUGAUUCGACCUGGAGAACAGCAGUGGGUGCACUUGCGGCACGUAUCCACAAGGGGGAGACUAAACUCUUUUUCAAAAAUGUGAUAUUGGGGGAAUGGAUGAGUCGUGAAUCGCGGAGUACAGGGAAACCCCAAUCUCUGUAAUAGGGCGGUUUCACAUUCGUUAAUCGGGUGUUGCUUGAAGGAAAAGCGGCGUUUUGACGAUGCUUUGAUCGGCGCCUCUAUGACCGAGCCAGCUCGCUUCCCCGUUCAGCGUGUUCUGAGCUGAAGAAAAACGCCUUUUAUAUCGUGAGUGGAACUGUUGCUGUGUAAAUAAUGUGAAGACCAAAAUGUACAAAGUUAACGUUACAGAGAACGGAGCUCGUCAGUUCCAGUGUUAAAACUGAUUUUAUACAGUUAAAUUAUUUUAUAUAGGCCGUCGAUUCCUAUUCUUCCAGUUAUUAUUGGUGUUUUUUUGUAACCCGUGUUGUCAAGUGUUUUGUUUUAAAACGGUGCGAUACUUCAGAAAGUGGGUCACAGGUAAAGCAUUCUAGUACAGUGUGUGUGUGUCCAGAUGGCAGGAUAUUGUAUGUCUGAUUUCACUGUCUGUCUUCACGUUGAAAACAUCUUUCAUUUAAAAAAAAAAACUUUAGACCUUGCGAGAACGCUAGAGUACUAGAGGGGAUUAUGACCCACCACUUUUUUUAAAAAAAAAGUUUUGUAUUUGUCAUAUUUUUUUUCUUUUACGUUCACAAAAAAAAAUAAAAUGCUUAUCUGCUCCAGUUGUCACCUGGUGAUCUGUCUGUAUUGUACCGGAA